AGCGAGACUGUCUCAAAAAAAAAAAAAAAAAAAAAGUAAGAAAGCUAUGUUUUAGACUUGAGGGCAUGAGUUAGUAAUUCUUGCAUACUUUCUCGGUAGAUAAGAAGUUGUAGGCUUCUAUUGUUAGAUUCACAAUCUAAUGUUUUAGUUAAACUAUAGCUACAGGAUGUUAAUCCUGUGAUUGUUUUGGGGUUUAGAGUAAGGAGUAGGACUGUUGCAAGAUGUAUAAAUACUAAAAUAUUUUCCUGUGUGAAGGAAGGUUUAAUACAGCUAAUGUUGUACAUUAAUGCUCUCCGUUGUGUUGAGGUAAAUAUGUAUAGUGAAUAAAGGGAUGUAAUUCGUAUGUUAAGUCCUAUAAGUAUAAUAGUGAAGUUUGAUCGGGAGAAGGAGGCUAUGAUUGUAAAGAGUUCUCCAAUUAAAUUAAUGGUUGGGAGUAGGGCAAGAUUAGUACAAUUUGCUAAAAGUCAUCAAAGGGCUAUUAAUGGAAAUAAUGUUCGGAGGCCUCGGGUCAAUAGUAUGUUUCGGCUAUGGAUUCGUUCAUUAUUUGAGUUUGCUAGGCAGAACAUUAAAGAUGAGGUGAGUCUGUGGGCGAUUAUGAGAGUAGUAGUGCCUGUAAAACUUCAAGGGGCUUAAAUGAGGAUUGCUAGAAUAACAAGAGCUAUAUGGCUUACGGAAGAAUAGGCGAUGAGUAAUUUUAGGUCAGUUUGUCGUAAACAGAUAGAGCUUGUUAUGACCAAGCAGAUC